GCUGAAGAGAGCCUGAUGAAGCGUGCGUCUUUGCUCCGCUUUGAUAAACCGCAUCAAUUAUUCACCGUGAAGGCAGACAUCCUGACAUGAAAGCUACCGAUAAAGAGGGUAAGCACAUGUCGAAGAGGAGGGCUGGGGAGCGCGGGGCGGGGCUGGGCUGCGGGGGCUGGCACAGGUAGCUUUGAUUGCAUUAUUGUCUGGAAACAAAGAGGCCAAUCACCACGCCCGGGCUCACGUUGUGCCCGCCCCCCAUCUUCUAACCACUUAUUCUGGUGGGGAGCCUAGCAGGAUUCAAACCCUCAAUACUAAAGGUGUGAGAGGGUCUUCAGGAGCCUGGGAAGAGACACAAAGUCACCUAACUACAAGUUUGCAGAUUGUGGGAGGAAUCAAGUCCCACCCCUGGAGGAGUCAGGCUACUGGGCUCUCCAAAUCCCUGUUUUGGAUGACUGGAUACAGAAGAUGCACGG